rnacentral:rRNA from 1 species
AUGGCUGUCGUCAGCUCGUGUCGUGAGAUGUUCGGUUAAGUCCGCUAACGAGCGCAACCCUCGCUGUGUGUUACAAGUGUCACACGGAACUGCCGGUCAUAAACCGGAGGAAGGUGGGGAUGACGUCAAGUCAGCAUGGCCUUUAUAUCCUGGGCUACACACACGCUACAAUGGGAAGGGACAAUAGGUUGCGAAACCGCGAGGUGGAGCCAAUCCAGCAAAACUUCCCUCAGUUCAGAUUGCAGGCUGCAACUCGCCUGCAUGAAGUUGGAGUUGCUAGUAAACGCAGGUCAGCCAUACUGCGUUGAAUACGUUCCCGGGGCUU